GACGAACGCUGGCGGCGUGCUUAACACAUGCAAGUCGAACGGAAAGGCCCUGCUUUUGUGGGGUGCUCGAGUGGCGAACGGGUGAGUAACACGUGAGUAACCUGCCCUUGACUUUGGGAUAACUUGAGGAAACUGGGUCAAAAACGGAUAGGAGCGCCCGCUGCCAGGGGGGGGUUGGGAAGUUUUCGUCGGUGGGGGUUGAAACGACGGCUUAUCGGCUUAUUGUUGGGAAAGUGGUUUACCAGGGCUUUGAGGGGUGGCCGGCCGGAGAGGGUGACCGGCCAAAUUGGGACUGAGAUACGGCCCUGACUCCUACGGGAGGCAGCAGUGCGGAAUAUUGCACACUGGGCGGAAGCCUGAUGCAGCAACGCCGCGUCCGGGAUGACGGCCUUCGGGUUGUAAACAGCCUUCGCCUGUGACGAAGCGUGAGUGACGGUAAUGGGUAACGAAGCACGCGCUAACUCCGUG
rnacentral:rRNA from 1 species